rnacentral:tRNA from 5 species
GGAGAGGUGGCCGAGUGGCCGAAGGCAGCAGUUUGCUAAACUGCCGUAGGGGGAAACUUCUACCGAGGGUUCAAAUCCCUCCCUCUCCGCCA